CUUCCGUGCCAUCCCUCAGGUUCUGCAGGGCACUGGCCACUUCUGCACAGCCAGGCCUUCCCACCCUACCCCCGAGAUUCACACAGCAGGGUCCACUCCCUCCCAGGCUUGGCUUCCCCAGGCUGAGGGCUGGGCAUUGGCACCCUUCCACAGACCACAUGAGUCAGCUCCCUCCCCACCCAACAAGGCCAGUGCUGGCUCUGUCUGAGGUCCCUUUGUUCAGGUCUCUUCUGAAGAAAGGCACCAGAGGCUCCAGCUCUGGCCAUAAUGCCCCAGAUGAAGCUUGACAGGAGAACUGGACACAACAGGCCAGAAUAUGCAUUCCAGGAGAGCAGGGAUAUUUGUUUUGUUCCCCGAUGUAUCCCCUGGAUCUAGCACAGGACUGGCAGGAACCCCAGAUUCUUCUCCAUGGUCGGAAUCAUUGCAAAAUAACUGGUUUCCCUAGGAUCACCAGCUGUCAUGGACUGAUUUGUGUCUCUCCAAAUUCAUAUGUUGAAUACUUAACCUGCCAUGCGAUUGUGAUUGGAGAUAAUUCCUUUAGGGAAGCAAUGAAGGUUAAAUGAGGUCAUAGGUGGGAGCUUAAUCCAAUGGGACUGGGGUCCCUACAAGAAGAGGAAGACACCAGAGCUCUCUGUCUCCACACACAGAGAAAAGAGGCUGUAUGAGGACACAAGAGAAGGUAAUAGCUGUCUACAAACCAAGAAGAGAAGCCUCUCCAGAAAAUGAACCCUGCUGGAACUUGGUCUUGGACUUUCCAGCCUCCAGAACUGGGAGAAAAUAAAGUUCAAAAUAAAGUUCUGUUGUGUAAGCCCCCGAGUCCAUGGUAUUUUGUUAUGGCAGCCCUAGCAGACUAAUAACACCUGCUAAUUAAACUGCUUGUUCUCCACUUGUUGUCUCAGGGUCUGUUCCUAGGGAACCUGGACUCAGACAGAUGCUCUGCUUAAUUAGACCCCAGGGAAAUGUAAAUGAAAACCACGUGUGAUGCCAUGUCACAAGUACUAGGAUAACCAGAAGGAAAUCUGACCACAUCGGAUGCUGGUGAGGUUGGGAAGCUGUCAUAUUUAGCUGACGGAGGUGUGAGUCGGCAAACCACUUUGGAAAAC
rnacentral:lncRNA from 10 species